rnacentral:rRNA from 1 species
CUAACACAUGCAAGUCGAACGGUAACAGGAAGAAGCUUGCUUCUUUGCUGACGAGUGGCGGACGGGUGAGUAAUGUCUGGGAAACUGCCUGAUGGAGGGGGAUAACUACUGGAAACGGUAGCUAAUACCGCAUAACGUCGCAAGACCAAAAAGGGGGACCUUCGGGCCUCUUGCCAUCGGAUGUGCCCAGAUGGGAUUAGCUAGUAGGUGGGGUAACGGCUCACCUAGGCGACGAUCCCUAGCUGGUCUGAGAGGAUGACCAGCCACACUGGAACUGAGACACGGUCCAGACUCCUACGGGAGGCAGCAGUGGGGAAUAUUGCACAAUGGGCGCAAGCCUGAUGCAGCCAUGCCGCGUGUAUGAAGAAGGCCUUCGGGUUGUAAAGUACUUUCAGCGGGGAGGAAGGGAGUAAAGUUAAUACCUUUGCUCAUUGACGUUACCCGCAGAAGAAGCACCGGCUAACUCCGUGCCAGCAGCCGCGGUAAUACGGAGGGUGCAAGCGUUAAUCGGAAUUACUGGGCGUAAAGCGCACGCAGGCGGUUUGUUAAGUCAGAUGUGAAAUCCCCGGGCUCAACCUGGGAACUGCAUCUGAUACUGGCAAGCUUGAGUCUCGUAGAGGGGGGUAGAAUUCCAGGUGUAGCGGUGAAAUGCGUAGAGAUCUGGAGGAAUACCGGUGGCG